rnacentral:lncRNA from 1 species
UGAUGUAGCAGGGGCUGAAGGCCACUCGCAGAGUGACUCUCUCCUGCUCUCAGCAGAAGGCGCAUCCCUUUAGAAGCAACUCGAACAGAUGAGCUGUAGGUCAGAGGCGAUGUGGAAGGGAAUUUUAUUUAGAGUCUGGUGUCACUUUCCACGCGAUUACUUCAGCUCUGUCACUUGGGUCACCAUAAAACCUUCUGCUGAUUUACUCUGGCCUUGCCUCAUAAAGGAAUCUCUCUAAUUCUCAGCCGGGACCAUCCACUAGGAUGACAAAUAGCAUCGAUCAUUAAAAAUGACAUCUGUAAUUUUGCAGCCAGAGAAGACGAUUUUUUAAAGCUGUCAGUGAAACAAAGAGGAUUUUAGGAGAUGCUGAUGCGAUCUGAAAAUCUUCGGGAAUUCUAAAGCGUGAAGAUGAGCUGUCAGCUUUGGAAUGGCAGGAUGAAUCCUGUGCUAAGGCUCACCCCAUGCAGACCCAUUGUAUCACCAGUGUAGCACUGAAGGACAGCAAAACUGCUGAAUUGUCAGCCUGUCAACCUCCAAAGCUCUGCAAAAAACCAAGUUGGAGAAGAAAAGAAAUUCGAUGUCCAUUUUCCAAAAAGGAGGUAGAAGGAAGAGGAAAGGAGUGAGACUAUUUCAUGUCCUUCUCUCCCCAGUGGCAGGAAGUUCAUUAGUCUAAACAAGAAGAGGCUCAGCACACCAAAACUAAUGAACGCACUUGCUCUCUCCCAGUAGGCGAUAGGAAUCCUGCAAACAGCUGCAACUGCAGAAGAGCGAGAGCUGAGGGGUGCUGAGGUCCCUAGUCCCCAGCCAGGGCCGGUGUGGGCGAGUGAUGGUGCCUCGGAGGUGCAGGUCUGUGUUUGCAGUCUACAUAUCUGAGUCAAUGGACACAAUGCCUAUAUCCACACAAGAUCUGCUUCCCCACGCCAAUCCCAAAGAUGCUUUUUAUUUAUUCCUUUGGUUAUAUUCUGGAGAAAACUAACUGCAACAGUGAUUGCAUGAGAGUCUGCAAAACUGGUGACCUACAUUGUGAGCUACAUUCAUUUCCUGGAAAUCCUUCCCUGUUUUGUAACCUGGCUUGAUGUUUUCUUCCGCUGUUCUUGGUCUGCAUGGAAGUGUGGGCUUGCUGCUGGCCCCCCACCACCCCUGGGAUACUCUGGGAGGUUGCAGUCGAUAUGUCAGACUCUGAGGUGAAAGUCAAUGCUAAGAAAUAGAAUGCUUUUCCUAUGCCAUUGCUUGCUGACUUGGCAUUUAGUGUGAAUACCUCCAAGAUACCUCUUCCAUAAUUACUAGGCAUGAUUCUAUUUUCAGUGCAAUCGCUGAGAGGGUGUAAUUGGAAACCACAGAGGUAGAUUAUUUUCUCCUUCUUUAAGGGGCUUUUUGCUAUCAUCAUAUAAUCUUUUCCUCCCACUCACUCCUACCAGGUGUCUCUCUUGCUGGAGUAGAAUAUGCACUGGUUCUGAGACACUUCCUGUGUAGGGGUUAUACUCCUUGAAAUCUGCAAGAGUGAUGAAACUGUGUUGAGCAGAAUAUAAAUGUUCUACUCUGCUUGACUAUACUCCGUCCAGUUUACUUCCUGAUUAUGGGUCUCUGACCUCCCUUUUCUUAGAGUAUGUUCUUUAGAAACAUAACUGUAAAUUAUUUCUCUGUCCCCUUGAGAUGUAAUUAUUCAACCCACCCAUGUUUUCCUCAAAGACUGAGGGGCCAUCCCUUGAAAUACAGUUAUGCAGGUAGCACCCCUGUCUCCCAGUCCCUGGGUUGGUAAGGAGACUAAUUUCAAUAAGCUCCAGUUAGCAGACACUGAUGGCCGAAUGAUGCCGACGAGCGGAGGUUUGCACUGUCCUACCCCAGUGCUUGAAAACUCUUGUUUUAAGAGUUGAAUUCACUCUCUCUCCUCUGUUGCAAUAGUCUAGGCCUUAUUGCAAUAAUCUUAAAUAAAAUCUUACUUGCCUCCA